rnacentral:rRNA from 1 species
UACAGAGGUCCCAAGCGUUGUUCGGAAUUAUUGGGCGUAAAGGGUGCGUAGGCGGUAGGAUAAGUUAGAUGUAAAAUGUCGGCGCUUAACGUCGAACCUGCAUUUAAGACUGUCCUGCUUGAGCGCUAGAGAGGAGUCUGGAAUUUACGGUGUAGCAGUGAAAUGCGUAGAUAUCGUAAGGAAGGCCAGUGGCGAAAGCGAGACUCUGGCUAGAUGCUGACGCUGAGGCACGAAAGCUGGGGGAGCAAACGGG